rnacentral:lncRNA from 1 species
GAGAAGAUGACAGCAGAGGAGUGUCCUGGCUCUUCUGCAGGUGGGGCAGGGCGUGGCCUGGAGGCGAUGGUGCAUAGUCUGGUGGACUGUGGAGGGCUGGGUCUUUUGUGGUGGGGGUCAGGAACUAUCUUAGGCUAGACUAAGCUGGGCAACUUGGAGCUGCGAUGGUGUGUGUAGAAGGGUCAGGGCUACCCCUGAGGACUGCGUGGGGAGCCUUUGGUUUUAGGAGUGCACCUUGGAGGCAGAGCUAUAUCUAGGCGAAGGGGCCUUGGUAGUGGGCAGUAGUGUAUUCUUUUUUUGUGGAUCUGAGUGACUUGGGGUGACAUGGGCUCCUGGUGUGUGUGGCAUCUUCAGGCAACAGUCUGAACAGUGCCUCAACCAUAGGCUGAGAGGCCCCGUGCCAGUCUCCAGUCAUCUGUGUCUUUGUGGUCCCCACUGCAGUGUGUCACAAGCCAGUGUAAGGGAUGAGGUUCCUCUUGGGUGGCCAAGGAUGUGUCAGCAGCUGGGUGGGGCUGUUCUUGCCUGUCCUCUGCUGGGCUUCAGUGGGGAGGGCUGCUCUAGAACGUUCCGAGGUAUCUGGGAGGCCUUUCAGAUCCUUCUUAGCAUCUAAGUGGGCCUUGGGCUGCAGGCCCAAGUCCUGGUGCUGUAAAGCAGUUUGCCUAUGGCCUGCUUGAGGGUCAGAACACAGGUCAGUUCUUACAUUUAAGGAGACUUGGGGAGGCCACUGGUGGCUUAAGUCUUUAAUCUCAACACUCAGGAGUCAGAGGCAGGGGAAUCUCUGGAGGCUAAUCUAGACUACUUAGAGAGUUCCAGGGCAACCUGAUAUACACAGAGAGACCUUGUGUUAGAAAAGAAGGGAGAGGAGAGUGAGGGUAUGGGCAUAAAAUCUUCACAGCCUGUUUUAACAAGCGAUUAACCUCUCCUCUAGCCCACCACCCAGCAAAGAUAGUGGAAGAAAAACGUUAUUAAGAAACGAGGGAAGUAGACCUGUUUAGAAAUAUUUCUUUGGGGGUGAGCCCAGUCUUUGUUGUCAGGAUGUCAGCAGUUCAGUCCUUUAGCAAACACCGAAUAUGAACCAGCAGCUAAAGUUCAAUCAUGAAGAAACUGCAAGGCUCGCCAACCAGCCAGAGGCCUUGGAGAUGGCAAGAAGCUGCUGGAACCUCAGGAGAAGUUCCUUGGUGCAUCCAAAACACAGGGUGGGCUCUCAGAUCACAGACAAAGUAAUCAAGCCAAGUAGUAAACACGGAGAAGACACAAGGUAACAAGUAAAGUAGCAAGGCAAGACACCACACAGGGAAUAAUUCAGCAAAGCAGUAAACAAAGCCCCACCGUCACUGUUUCUAAUGUUCUUACUGAGCCUAGGUCCUUAUCUGAGCCCAGAGACAAAUGCCAGAUUCCCAAUGGCUCUCAACUUGGGUCUUCUGAUAACAGAGGAGAAAAGUGCUCUCCUGGCGGAAGGGAACUCAAAAAGAAAGAAAGGAAGGCAGCAGGGUCUCGAGGGCACCAGGGACUUCUGGGUUCUCCCUGAAGUCACACAGCAAUGUAGGGUAGGUCAGUACAGGGCUGCCUACACCACCCCUUUCUAGUGGCCUGUCACCUAGCAGGACUGUAGCCCUUGAAAUUCACGGGCCCAGGCUUUGAAUGUCCAGUCCAGGUUGUGGCCAUUUCCCUACACUAAAAGCUACUAUAACAAACGACUGUGGGAGCCAAUUAAUGACAUAGGAUUUGUGAAUGAAACAGUUGCAGGAUAGCCAUUGAUAAAAUGUUAGUCCUAGGCUGGACUGCAGAGGGUGGAUAAUUAGUUAAUGAAGAAUUAAAUGCAGAAUGCCCACACAGUGGAGUUCACUGAUCUGGAAUCCUGUAAACUCACUCCACCAUUCAUAGCUGUGUGAAUGCAAGUGGCCUGACCUCUCUGCUUCUGUCAUCACGAUGUUUUCUUUUCUUCACUUUUCUGUUUUUUUUUUUCAA